rnacentral:rRNA from 1 species
GAUGAACGCUAGCUACAGGCUUAACACAUGCAAGUCGAGGGGCAGCACAGUGUAGCAAUACACGGGUGGCGACCGGCGCACGGGUGCGUAACGCGCAUCCAACCUUCCCGAUACUCUUGGAUAGCCUUCCGAAAGGGAGAUUAAUACAAGAUGGUGUUUCACUUUCGCAUGUUAUUGAAACUAAAGAUUUAUCGGUAUCGGAUGGGGAUGCGUGACAUUAGAUAGUAGGCGGGGUAACGGCCCACCUAGUCUACGAUGUCUAGGGGUUCUGAGAGGAAGGUCCCCCACACUGGAACUGAGACACGGUCCAGACUCCUACGGGAGGCAGCAGUGAGGAAUAUUGGUCAAUGGGCGAGAGCCUGAACCAGCCAAGUAGCGUGAAGGAAGACUGCCCUAUGGGUUGUAAAACUUCUUUGUUCGGGAAUAAAGUGCAGUACGCGUACUG